rnacentral:rRNA from 1 species
CCUACGGGAGGCAGCAGUGAGGAAUAUUGGUCAAUGGGCGGAAGCCUGAACCAGCCAAGUAGCGUGCAGGAUGACGGCCCUACGGGUUGUAAACUGCUUUUAUACGGGAAUAACGCGCCUUACGUGUAGGGCUUUGCAUGUACCGUAUGAAUAAGGACCGGCUAAUUCCGUGCCAGCAGCCGCGGUAAUACGGAAGGUCCGGGCGUUAUCCGGAUUUAUUGGGGUUAAAGGGAGCGUAGGCCGCAUGUCAAGCGUGCUGUGAAAUGUCCGGGCUCAACCCGGGCCUUGCAGCGCGACCUGGCGUGCUCGAGUCCGCGGAAAGCAGGCGGAAUUCGUCGUGUAGCGGUGAAAUGCUUAGAUAUGACGAAGAACCCCGAUUGCGAAGGCAGCUUGCUGCAGCGGAACUGACGCUGAUGCUCGAAAGCGCGGGUAUCGAACAGGAUUAGAUACCCGAGUAGUC